GGGUGCUUGAGGCUUUUUGCUUUGAGCAGUCGUGAUAGGCAGAAAGACGAAAGCCCCGAGUAAUUUUCUUAAUUAACCCGAGGCUCCAAUAUGUCCACAGAACAUAAGGAUAGCCUCUUAACUGCAGAAAUGCAAUCGGAGGUCAGAAUG
rnacentral:antisense_RNA from 1 species